GCCCUUAUAGCUUAAUGGUAAAGUGCUCGCGCUUCAAAAGGCUUUGACCGCGGGUGAUUCGAGGUUCAAGUCCUUGUAAGGGCA